GAUGAACGCUGGCGGCGUGCCUAAUACAUGCAAGUCGAGCGAACAGACGAGGAGCUUGCUCCUCUGACGUUAGCGGCGGACGGGUGAGUAACACGUGGAUAACCUACCUAUAAGACUGGGAUAACUUCGGGAAACCGGAGCUAAUACCGGAUAAUAUAUUGAACCGCAUGGUUCAAUAGUGAAAGACGGUUUUGCUGUCACUUAUAGAUGGAUCCGCGCCGCAUUAGCUAGUUGGUAAGGUAACGGCUUACCAAGGCAACGAUGCGUAGCCGACCUGAGAGGGUGAUCGGCCACACUGGAACUGAGACACGGUCCAGACUCCUACGGGAGGAAGCAGUAGGGAAUCUUCCGCAAUGGGCGAAAGCCUGACGGAGCAACGCCGCGUGAGUGAUGAAGGUCUUCGGAUCGUAAAACUAUGUUAUUAGGGAAGAACAAAUGUGUAAGUAACUAUGCACGUCUUGACGGUACCUAAUCAGAAAGCCACGGCUAACUACGUG
rnacentral:rRNA from 1 species